UACGUAGGCAGCGAGCGUUGUUCGGAGUUACUGGGCGUAAAGGGUGUGUAGGCGGUUUUCUAAGUUUGGUGUGAAAUCUCCCGGCUUAACCGGGAGGGUGCGCCGAAAACUGGGAGACUAGAGUGCGGGAUGGGAGAGUAGAAUUCCUGGUGUAGCGGUGAAAUGCGUAGAUAUCAGGAGGAACACCGGUGGCGAAGGCGGUUCUCUGGGCAUUACCUGACGCUGAGGAGCGAAAGUGUGGGGAGCGAACAGG
rnacentral:rRNA from 1 species